rnacentral:rRNA from 1 species
CACGUAGGGCGCAAGCGUUGUCCGGAAUUAUUGGGCGUAAAGGGCUCGUAGGCGGUUCGUCACGUCGGGAGUGAAAACUCGGGGCUUAACCCCGAGCCUGCUUCCGAUACGGGCAGACUAGAGGUAGGCAGGGGAGAGCGGAACUCCUGGUGUAGCGGUGGAAUGCGCAGAUAUCAGGAAGAACACCGGUGGCGAAGGCGGCUCUCUGGGCCUUACCUGACGCUGAGGAGCGAAAGCGUGGGUAGCGAACAGG